UACGAAGGGUGCAAGCGUUAAUCGGAAUUACUGGGCGUAAAGCGUGCGUAGGCGGUUCUUUAAGUCUGCUGUGAAAUCCCCGGGCUCAACCUGGGAAUGGCAGUGGAUACUGGAGAGCUAGAGUGUGAUAGAGGAUGGUGGAAUUCCCGGUGUAGCGGUGAAAUGCGUAGAGAUCGGGAGGAACAUCAGUGGCGAAGGCGGCCAUCUGGAUCAACACUGACGCUGAGGCACGAAAGCGUGGGGAGCGAACCGG
rnacentral:rRNA from 1 species